UAGGGAAUCUUCGGCAAUGGACGGAAGUCUGACCGAGCAACGCCGCGUGAGUGAAGAAGGUUUUCGGAUCGUAAAGCUCUGUUGUAAGAGAAGAACGAGUGUGAGAGUGGAAAGUUCACACUGUGACGGUAUCUUACCAGAAAGGGACGGCUAACUACGUGCCAGCAGCCGCGGUAAUACGUAGGUCCCGAGCGUUGUCCGGAUUUAUUGGGCGUAAAGCGAGCGCAGGCGGUUAGAUAAGUCUGAAGUUAAAGGCUGUGGCUUAACCAUAGUAGGCUUUGGAAACUGUUUAACUUGAGUGCAAGAGGGGAGAGUGGAAUUCCAUGUGUAGCGGUGAAAUGCGUAGAUAUAUGGAGGAACACCGGUGGCGAAAGCGGCUCUCUGGCUUGUAACUGACGCUGAGGCUCGAAAGCGUGGGGAGCAAACAGGAUUAGAUACCCUGGUAGUCCACGCUGUAAACGACGAGUGCUAGGUGUUAGACCCUUUCCGGGGUUUAGUGCCGUAGCUAACGCAUUAAGCACUCCGCCUGGGGAGUACGACCGCAAGGUUG
rnacentral:rRNA from 1 species